CCUACGGGUUGCAGCAGUGGGGAAUAUUGCACAAUGGGCGCAAGCCUGAUGCAGCCAUGCCGCGUGUAUGAAGAAGGCCUUCGGGUUGUAAAGUACUUUCAGCGAGGAGGAAGGCGUUAAGGUUAAUAACCUUGGCGAUUGACGUUACUCGCAGAAGAAGCACCGGCUAACUCCGUGCCAGCAGCCGCGGUAAUACGGAGGGUGCAAGCGUUAAUCGGAAUUACUGGGCGUAACGCGCACGCAGGCGGUCUGUCAAGUCGGAUGUGAAAUCCCCGGGCUCAACCUGGGAACUGCAUCCGAAACUGGCAGGCUAGAGCCUUGUAGAGGGGGGUAGAAUUCCAGGUGUAGCGGUGAAAUGCGUAGAGAUCUGAAGGAAUACCAGUGGCGAAGGCGGCCCCCUGGACAAAGACUGACGCUCAGAUGCGAAAGCGUGGGGAGCAAACAGGAUUAGAUACCCGUGUAGUC
rnacentral:rRNA from 1 species